rnacentral:rRNA from 1 species
UGGGGAAUAUUGCGCAAUGGGGGAAACCCUGACGCAGCAACGCCGCGUGAAGGAUGAAGGUUUUCGGAUCGUAAACUUCUUUGAUGAGGGACGAAGAAUGACGGUACCUCAAAAACAAGCCACGGCUAACUACGUGCCAGCAGCCGCGGUAAUACGUAGGUGGCGAGCGUUGUCCGGAAUUACUGGGUGUAAAGGGCGUGUAGGCGGGGAUACAAGUCAGAUGUGAAAUACCGUGGCUUAACCACGGGGCUGCAUCUGAAACUGGGGAGCUAGAGUGCGGGAAGGGAGAGUGGAAUUCCUGGUGUAGCGGUGAAAUGCGUAGAUAUCAGGAGGAACACCGGUGGUGUAGACGGCUCUCUGGACCGUAACUGACGCUGAGACACGAAAGCGUGGGUAGCAAACA